UACGUAGGUGGCAAGCGUUGUCCGGAAUUAUUGGGCGUAAAGCGCGCGCAGGCGGUCCUUUAAGUCUGAUGUGAAAGCCCACGGCUCAACCGUGGAGGGUCAUUGGAAACUGGGGGACUUGAGUACAGAAGAGGAAAGCGGAAUUCCACGUGUAGCGGUGAAAUGCGUAGAGAUGUGGAGGAACACCAGUAGCGAAGGCGGCUUUCUGGUCUGUAACUGACGCUGAGGCGCGAAAGCGUGGGGAGCAAACAGG
rnacentral:rRNA from 1 species